UACAGAGGGUGCGAGCGUUAAUCGGAAUUACUGGGCGUAAAGGGCGCGUAGGCGGUUAUUUAAGUUAGAUGUGAAAUCCCUGGGCUUAACCUAGGAACUGCAUCUGAUACUGGAUAACUGGAGUGUAGUAGAGGGUAGUGGAAUUUCCGGUGUAGCGGUGAAAUGCGUAGAUAUCGGAAGGAACACCAGUGGCGAAGGCGGCUACCUGGACUAACACUGACGCUGAGGCGCGAAAGCGUGGGGAUCAAACAGG
rnacentral:rRNA from 1 species